UACGGAGGCCUCGAGCGUUAUCCGGAAUUAUUGGGCGUAAAGGGUGUGUAGGUGGUCUUGUUAGUCUCUUGUAAAAUUCUUCGGCUUAACCGGGGGCGCGCGGGAGAAACGGCAAGACUAGAGUAUGCGAGGGGUUUGCGGAACUCAUGGAGUAGGGGUGAAAUCCGUUGAUAUCAUGGGGAACACCAAAAGCGAAGGCAGCAAACUGGAGCAUUACUGACACUGAAACACGAAAGCGUGGGUAGCGAAUGGG
rnacentral:rRNA from 1 species